rnacentral:tRNA from 1 species
GGGGUUGUGGCUCAGGGGUACAGUGCCCACCUAGCACAUGUGAGGCACUGGGUUCAAUCCUCAGCACCACA